rnacentral:rRNA from 1 species
AACGAACGCUGGCGGCAGGCUUAACACAUGCAAGUCGAACGGGUGUAGCAAUACAUCAGUGGCAGACGGGUGAGUAACACGUGGGAACCUUCCUAGGGGUACGGAACAACUCAGGGAAACUUGAGCUAAUACCGUAUACGUCCGUAAGGAGAAAGAUUCAUCGCCCCUAGACGGGCCCGCGUCGGAUUAGGUAGUUGGUGGGGUAACGGCCUACCAAGCCUACGAUCCGUAGCUGAUCUGAGAGGAUGAUCAGCCACACUGGGACUGAGACACGGCCCAGACUCCUACGGGAGGCAGCAGUGGGGAAUCUUGGACAAUGGGCGCAAGCCUGAUCCAGCCAUGCCGCGUGAGUGAAGAAGGCCUUAGGGUUGUAAAGCUCUUUCAGCCUUGACGAAGCGAAAGUGACGGUAGGGGCAGAAGAAGCACCGGCCAACUACGUGCCAGCAGCCGCCGCAGUAAC